rnacentral:misc_RNA from 1 species
GAAAUGCGAUAAGUAAUGUGAAUUGCAGAAUUCAGUGAAUCAUCGAAUCUUUGAACGCACAUUGCGCCCGCCAGUAUUCUGGCGGGCAUGCCUGUUCGAGCGUCAUUUCACCUCCUUCAUCCGAGAUUACCCGCUGAACUUAA